GACGAACGCUGGCGGCGUGCCUAACACAUGCAAGUCGAACGGAGAUACGAUUUCGGUUGUAUCUUAGUGGCGAACGGGUGAGUAACGCGUGAGCAACCUGACCUUUAGAGGGGGAUAACACUUGGAAACAGGUGCUAAUACCGCAUAAGACCACGACCCGACAUCGGGAUGAGGUCAAAGGAGUAAUCCGCUAGAGGAGGGGCUCGCGUCCCAUUAGAUAGAUGGCGGGUAACGGCCCACCAUGUCGACGAUGGGUAGCCGAGCUGAGAGGCUGAUCGGCCACACUGGAACUGAGACACGGUCCAGACUCCUACGGGAGGCAGCAGUGGGGAAUAUUGGGCAAUGGGCGCAAGCCUGACCCAGCAACGCCGCGUGAGGGAAGAAGGCCUUCGGGUUGUAAACCUCUGUCCUUGGUGACGAAAAAAUAGACGGUAGCCAAGGAGGAAGCCCGGCUAACUACGUGCCAGCAGCCGCGGUAAU
rnacentral:rRNA from 1 species